UUCCUACGGGCGGCUGCAGUAGGGAAUUUUCGGCAAUGGGGGGAACCCUGACCGAGCAACGCCGCGUGAGUGAUGAAAGUCUUCGGAUUGUAAAGCUCUGUUAUAAGGGAAGAACGUCCCCGAUAGAAUCGGGGAGUGACGGUACCUUAUCAGAAAGCUACGGCUAACUACGUGCCAGCAGCCGCGGUAAUACGUAGGUAGCGAGCGUUAUCCGGAAUUAUUGGGCGUAAAGGGUGCGUAGGCGGCUUGUUAAGUUUAAGGUGAAAGCGUGGGGCUCAACCCCAUAAAGCCUUAGAUACUGACAAGCUAGAGUACUGGAGAGGGUAGUGGAAUUCCAUGUGUAGCGGUAAAAUGCGUAGAUAUAUGGAGGAACACCGGUGGCGAAGGCGGCUACCUAGACAGAGACUGACGCUGAUGCACGAAAGCGUGGGGAGCAAAUAGGAUUAGAUACCCCUGUAGUC
rnacentral:rRNA from 1 species